CCUACGGGUGGCAGCAGUGGGGAAUAUUGCACAAUGGGGGAAACCCUGAUGCAGCGACGCCGCGUGAGUGAAGACGUAAUUCGUUAUGUAAAGCUCUAUCAGCAGGGAAGAAAAUGACGGUACCUGAGUAAGAAGCCCCGGCGAACUACGUGCCAGCAGCCGCGGUAAUACGGAGGGGGCAAGCGUUAUCCGGAUUUACUGGGUGUAAAGGGGGCGUAGACGGUAGUGCAAGUCUGGAGUGAAAGACGGAGGCUCAACCCCAGGGCUGCUCUGGAAACUGUACGGCUGGAGUGCAGGUGAGGUAGGUGGAAUUCGUAGUGUAGCGGUGAAAUGCAUAGAUAUUAGGCAGAACACCGGUGGCGAAGGCAGCUUGCUAGACUGGAACUGACGUUGAGGCUCGAAAGCGUGGGGAGCGAACAGGAUUAGAUACCCCGGUAGUC
rnacentral:rRNA from 1 species